CCCCCCACCGCUCCUCCUGGUCAUACACACACAUCUCUCAUCCACCUGUUUUAUUACCUGUACAAUAUGUCCAUAUUCUGUAUAUUAUCUGUAAACUAGUAUAGCAUGCUCACUGCACCUUAAUCUGUAUAUUAUAAUCCUAAGAAUA